rnacentral:rRNA from 1 species
UACGUAGGGUGCGAGCGUUGUCCGGAAUUACUGGGCGUAAAGAGCUCGUAGGUGGUUUGUCGCGUUGUCCGUGAAAACUCACAGCUCAACUGUGGGCGUGCGGGCGAUACGGGCAGACUGGAGUACUGCAGGGGAGACUGGAAUUCCUGGUGUAGCGGUGGAAUGCGCAGAUAUCAGGAGGAACACCGGUGGCGAAGGCGGGUCUCUGGGCAGUAACCUGACGCUGAGGAGCGAAAGCGGUAGGGAGAACAGG